CACGUAGGGCGCAAGCGUUGUCUGGAAUUAUUGGGCGUAAAGAGCUCGUAGGUGGUUUGUUACGUCCGCUGUGAAAUCCUAGGGCUUAACCCUGGGCUUGCAGUGGAUACGGGCAGACUAGAGGUAGGUAGGGGAGAAUGGAAUUCCUGGUGUAGCGGUGAAAUGCGCAGAUAUCAGGAGGAACACCGGUGGCGAAGGCGGUUCUCUGGGCCUUACCUGACACUGAGGAGCGAAAGCGUGGGGAGCGAACAGG
rnacentral:rRNA from 1 species